rnacentral:rRNA from 1 species
UACGUAGGGCGCAAGCGUUGUCCGGAAUUAUUUGGGCGUAAAGAGCUCGUAGGCGGUUUGUCGCGUCUGCUGUGAAAACCUCAGGCUCAACCUGGGGCUUGCAGUGGGUACGGGCAGACUAGAGUGCGGUAGGGGUGACUGGAAUUUCCUGGUGUAGCGGUGGAAUGCGCAGAUAUCAGGAGGAACACCGAUGGCGAAGGCAGGUCACUGGGCCGCAAACUGACGCUGGAGGAGCGAAAGCCAUGGGGAGCGAACAGG